ACUCCCAGGAAGGGGCCACACUCCCAGGAAGGGGCCCAGCAGCACCCGUUCUACUUCGGACUAACAAGAUUCAACGGUUACCACAGCUUCAAAGAAAGUCGUCUAUUUUCUGCUGAAGGGUCUGAGGAUGAGCUACAUGCGGGACGUGGAUCGUGGUUCAUCAGGCAUUCUCACGUGAGCAGUGAACUGGGAAUCACUCCUGCGCCACACUGGUCACCAGUGGCCGGCCCACGGCGCAGUGCAAGAGUUUCCCUGAGCGCCACCCAGUGACCGACCAGACCAGAGAGAGGACUGAAUCCCAUCGGAGACCCGGCAUUAACGUCUUACUUGAAUGAACAAGACCUGAGUGCAGUCGCUUCCCACUCUGUAAGGACGCUCUGCUCCAGACCUGGACGCCAUGUGACUGACUGUGCCUGUCCAUGGUCCACAGGCUGUUGUCUCACUCUAUUCACCAUCUUGUUCCGGCAAAAGUCUGGAUUCAGAUUAGUCAGAAAAGCUUUUCAUGCGCGACAGGAUCUACGUCAGCACUUCAUCCCGGAGCUCGUAACCUGAAAUCCCAAUGGAGGCCAGCUCUCGCACCCUUCUGCAGGAUGUGCUGAAGGAAAUCAUCCCACAAAGAAGUUGGAUCAAACACUCAUAUCAUUC